ensembl:miRNA bta-mir-2284k bta-mir-2284k
AGUUGACCAGAAAAGUUCGGUCGGGUUUUUCUGCAACAUCUAAUGAAAAAACCAAAAGAACUUUUUGGCCACCU